CUCUCACACACACACACACACAAAAGCUACGUGUGUGCAUUCACUUUCCUUACAUGUUGAAUGCGAAGAAUGCGUCAGAUGACGUUUCGUUUCUGCCAGCGGUGUCGAAAGGAUAUAGCCCAAUAGACAGUGAUUAUGGGCAAAUGACGGGAUAGGCUAAUGGUGAGAUCAGUUCGCAACAAGUCUUUACUCUUUUCAGUCCCUUCAUUUCUGUACAAGACUAAACUAAUUAACCGAACCUUCCCACGUUUCUGCGCGCACUCUCAGUCUCCAGUUCUCUCUCUCUCUCCGUAACCACUCGGACGGAUUUUUCGUUGCCUUUACAUUUACAAUGCGCGUGCUGUGCUAUUAAAGUCUGUCGUCCUGCCUGCGCAGUUGUGGACCGAAUACAGUCUGUCGUGGGAUUUUCCCAGAUAUUACCUCUGCGUUUUUCUCUCCCUCUUUGCUGGGGAGUUGCACACCACUACCAUUCCGAGAUCCACCGUCCACACAGGUGCGAUUUGGCUGCUGCACGCGGUUGCGGUAUCAAUGGCGAAGGCUUUCCGUUCAGAAAACUUGGGAGCGCGGUUUUAGGUCGGUAGCUUCACCCUGACAGAAUUUUUUUUUUUUUUUUUAAACGAACACCUUCCGUGAAAAAUCAAUGCUUACAAGAUAUUUUUUAUGAUUUAUUUUGGAAUCGCACCUAGUAGUCUACAUGCCACCUCAUGAAGGUAUAUUGCAGCGCGCGCAGCUUCUAACCGUAAUCAUACGUGGGGCUUUUCCGAACCGCGGACAAGUGGAAGAUAUCUUUCCUUUUGACCUGCAAUGGUUAUUGAAGUACUGGGAGCAUUCUGAAGACGAAAACGAUUCCAAUAUGUCAUUUUUAGGGAUUACACGUGGCGAGAGGCGUUCCAUUAAAGGCCGAGGGGGCUGGUAAAAAAAAUACAAAUUUCUUCAGGUACUGGGACACUGGCUUCGAUGGCUGCGACCCCCAGGUUUAAAAAUCGGAAGGAUGUCAGCGCCUGGCCGAAAACAUCCCCAACUUUCUGGGCUAUAGUGCUACUGAGCAGCCUGAUAAUCCUCUACUGCGGUCAGCUGGCAGCGGGGACGUGUGAGAUCGUCACGCUGGACCGGGACAGCAGCCAGCCGCGGCGGACCAUCGCGCGGCAGACAGCGCGCUGCGCGUGUAAGAGGGGCCAGAUCGCCGGGACAACGAGGGCCAGGCCGGCCUGUGUGGACGCGCGCAUCGUGAGGUCCAGGCAGUGGUGUGACAUGAUGCCCUGUCUGGAGGACGAAGGCUGCGACCUGUUAGCGAACGGGUCGGGCUGGACCUGCACGCAGCCCGGAGGCAGGGUCAAAACCACAACGGCACUAUGAUGUGAUGGAGCCCCCCUUUCGUACAAACGCCCCGGAUGAGCCGCGUGCAGCCUGACAGGACAGGACAGGACAGCCCCAAAACCCCGCCACCCCUCGCCAAGAACAGACAGUGACCAACUCCCGCUAACUGCAAGCCGCCGCGGGCCUUGACCGCACCGUAAGGUCUCCUGAGAACAGAGAACAGAGUCUCCCACAUCACCGGAGCAGCGUGGACUCUUUAGAGCUAGCUGCCCUCGCAAGUCAAGUCUACACGGCUCUGGGUCAUCUGUUGCUCGUCAUCAGCUCAGCUCAUCCAUCCACGGACAGCGCCCCCUUGUGCCUGGGCUGACCUCGCAAGUCUCUCUGACCCCCUUUUUUUGCCCAAAGAGCGGAAGCUGGGAUUAAAAACGGACUUCGCGGAGGGAAUUGUUUUUAAUUGGCUGAAGGGGAGGACGACAUCACAGGAAGCUGGUGCAUGACACGCCCGCAGACUGGACUCCAUGAUCAGGGAGAGUACCCGCGUCGGCUGUCUGGCGAAUUCAAAAGAGCUGUCUGUCCAAGGUUUAUUUUUGGCACCCUGAAUUUAUUUUUUUGUCUGUCUGUAUUUUCUUUCUUCUGUUGUUUUUUUUUUUUACAGACCAAAGAAAAACGGCAUUUAAGUCGGGCCAGAUGGAACAGGUCGGAAACAAAGGGAUUCUGAGAAAUUAAUGAAUUCAGCUCGGAACAGGCAGCAAAACAAAGAGACGCAAACACACACACACACACACGCUUGCACACACACACACACACACACA